ACCACAACCCUGUCUGGUGAUGGGUGCUGUGGGGAGGCAGCACUGGGCUGUCCCAGCUCAGCUCCUGCAGCUGCUGGCCCAGCCUUCUUGCUAGCACUGCACUGAGGGCACCAGCUUCCCCUCCUUCAAACACACUGGGUUGCAACUUCAUAUUUGAUCAGCUCCUCAGAGCACUUGCUUCAGAUCCUCCCCUCCAGCUGUGCCUUCACCUAGGACCUCUCCCUCUUGCCCACUGUUGUGUACAUGGCAGGGCCCAAUCCAAUCCAAUUUGAGACCCUUUGCUGUUUCAUCUGCUUUUUGAUCACAAACCAGUUGUGACUCCUCCGGUGCGCUCUCAGUCAGUUAUCACACCCACUUGGCAGGGUUUUCCUCUCUAAAACCUUUCCUUAGCUUGCAGUACUUCUUGUGGUACUGACCACUGAUACUAUUUUUUUUGCACAUGAGCAGCAGUCCAUGCAGCAAAAGCCAAAUGCGGAGGAGGAUACUUAAAAGGUGGUCACUGUGGCUGUUUUCCUUAGGGGUCUGGUGACUGCUGGGGACUGAUCACCAGCAUCCCCAUCCAAGUGCUUCAGUAUGGGGUUGGUUUGGGGGUUUGCUGCCCCGCAUUCACUUUCCCUUGCAAGCUUCCCCAGAUGCUGCCCUUCCUCCCAAGCAACAAGGUGGGGAGGACACUGCCACCCCACACAGGAUGGAUAACACUCCCACUUGAGGCCACGUUUCACUGUCCUGGCAUGUGCGCACUGACUCCACCGCCGCCCUCCACUGAGCUGUGCGCUGAAUGAUGAUGAAGUGACAUCGUCAUGGCAACACGUGUUGACUUCUCGGUUGCAUAGCAACCCGAUGCAGGCUGAUGUAAGAUGUGUGCUUGUUUCCUCUGCUGGCUGCGCUCCUUUGAUGUGCCUACGAGAUUCGGGCUUGUUUUAGUCUAUUUUCUUUCAUUUUCUGGACAUGUUGUGACAUCAGCAUGAUGCUGUGUGUGUGCACAGAGGAAAAGAGAUAAAGCUUAUCUCCUUCAAACGCCCUCCUAGGCUGUAUCCUGCCUUUGGGCACGAAGAUACACAGCUUGUUUUUAGAGGCUUGAUAGUAUUCAAUCCUGUCAUUAUUUUGUGUAAGAUAGACUCGAGGAGACAAGACGACACCUGUCUGCUUUCCACGGCAUCACAGCUCUGUGCCAUAGGGAAGCUGCUGUCUGAUUUUUGUGCGGAGUCGGCUGGGUUUGCUGUUUCAUGGGGCCUCUGCAGUAGAGGAAGACUACUAAAUCUUUGUUUACAGUCAUCACAUGGAAUUUUUGCACCCAACGGGAAAUGAUAAAAAUCUUCAAUGUCCUUCUUGCUGAAGGCUGUGUUUCUUUAUAUGGAAGCAGAAGAAAGUUUGUCCAUGUAGAUCAAUGGAGGAUGAAGAAACACUUCUGGUAAUGGUCCAGGAGAUGCAGAUGCAGAAAUCUGAAAGGCGAGAUCGAUCUUUUAUCAUGCCAAAGACAGACUGAAUCUCAGUAUACAUCAGUCCUCAAACAUGCGGGAUGUUAUUCAGCGAUGGCAGCUCUUCCACAUGACUGAUGGCAACAGAAAGUCAUCUGUCACUGCUUGGCUUCAGGCUUUUCCAACAAAACCAUGUGUUUGCUCAAAGAAAAAUACUUCGACAAAAUCUGUGGGAGGCUGUGAGUGCUCAAAACCAAAAAAGUUAUUGUUGGUUCUUGACACAUGCUUGGGAGAGGCUGUGGCAGCCUUUAAAAGACCUCUUCAGUGUCACAGAGAUGACUAACUGGGUAGCACAGCUCUCCCUCCUCUUGCCCCAUGCCCUUCACCUCUCCUCUGUAUGAGCAGAGAGUCUCUCUGUUUCUUUUCUUCUUUCAAAUUUCUUCUACUCCUGUUCAGGCAUCAACAAAUUGCAUUAAUGAUUUCUUUCCUGUCCCAUCCCAACCCGUCUGACCGUGUCAUUUCUUGGAGGAACUACACUUGCAGUGAUGCCUCUGCUCAGCUUGCAGAACAGAGUGCCCAGAGCACCCAGCCAAACUUGGGUGGCAUCAGCCAAACCCAGGCACUGUGAGCAAGGACAGGCAGCAGACUUUGUAAUGAAACUCAGGGAAUUUUGAUGAAUAUCGAACGAUCUUUGCAAACGUAAAUAUUUUUUAAAUAUC